GUGCUUGCUUCAGCAGCACAUAUACAAAAAUUGGAACGAUACAGGGAAGAUUAGCAUGGCCCUUGUGCAAGGGUGACAUGCAAAUUCAUGAAGCAUUCCAUAUUUUA